rnacentral:rRNA from 1 species
AGUCGAGCGGAUGAAGGGAGCUUGCUCCCUGAUUCAGCGGCGGACGGGUGAGUAAUGCCUAGGAAUCUGCCUGGUAGUGGGGGACAACGUCUCGAAAGGGACGCUAAUACCGCAUACGUCCUACGGGAGAAAGUGGGGGAUCUUCGGACCUCACGCUAUCAGAUGAGCCUAGGUCGGAUUAGCUAGUUGGUGAGGUAAUGGCUCACCAAGGCGACGAUCCGUAACUGGUCUGAGAGGAUGAUCAGUCACACUGGAACUGAGACACGGUCCAGACUCCUACGGGAGGCAGCAGUGGGGAAUUUUGGACAAUGGGCGAAAGCCUGAUCCAGCAAUGCCGCGUGAGUGAAGAAGGCCUUCGGGUUGUAAAGCACUUUAAGCGAGGAGGAAGGUUCGUUACUUAAUACGUAACGGAAUUGACGUUACUCGCAGAAUAAGCACCGGCUAACUCUGUGCCAGCAGCCGCGGUAAU